GUGCUUGCUUUGGCAGCACAUACACUAAAAUUAGAACACAGAGAAAAUUAGGAUGGCCCCUGCACAAGGAUGACACACAAAUUCAUAAAACGUUUCAUAUUUUU